rnacentral:rRNA from 1 species
GACGAACGCUGGCGGCGUGCUUAACACAUGCAAGUCGAGCGGUAAGGCCCUUUCGGGGGUACGACGAGCGGCGAACGGGUGAGUAACACGUGGGUGACCUGCCCUCAGCUCUGGGAUAAGCCUGGGAAACCGGGUCUAAUACUGGAUAUGACUCCAUGACGCAUGUUGUGGGGUGGAAAGCCUUGUGCGGCUGAGGAUGGGCCCGCGGCCUAUCAGCUUGUUGGUGGGGUGAGGCCUACCAAAGGCGACGACGGGUAGCCGGCCUGAGAGGCGACCGGCCACACUGGGACUGAAACACGGCCCAGACUCCUACGGGAGGCAGCAGUGGGGAAUCUUGCGCAAUGGGCGAAAGCCUGACGCAGCGACGCCGCGUGAGGGAUGACGGCCU